GAUGAACGCUGGCGGCGUGCCUAAUACAUGCAAGUCGAGCGCAGCGGGGACGGGUGCGUAACGCGUGGAUAACCGCCUAUAAGUCUGGGUUAACUUCGGAAAACCGGGGCUAAACCGGAUACUCACGUGUGGAUCCUCGCUGCAUUAGCGAGUUGGUAAGUUAACGGCGUACCAAGGCAACGAGGCAUAGCCGACCUGAGAGGGUGAUCGGCCACACUGGAACUGAGACACGGUCCAGACUCCUACGGGAGGCAGCAGUAGGGAAUAUUCCGCAAUGGGCGAAAGCCUGACGGAGCCACGCCGCGUGAGUGAAGAAGGUCUUCGGAUCGUAAAACUCUGUUAUUAGGGAAGCGGUACCUAAUCAGAAAGCCACGGCUAACUACGUGCCAGCAGCCGCGGUAAUUC
rnacentral:rRNA from 1 species